UGAAUACGAGACGCUAAGGCGUCGAAGUAGUGUAUGUCAGACUUCCAAGAAAAGCUCGCACUGUCAUAGGUAAAAAAUGCCUGUACCAUAACCGACACAGGUGGGUAGGUAGAGUAUACUAAGGGGCGCGAGAUAACUCUCUCUAAGGAACUCGGCAAAAUGACUCCGUAACUUCGGGAGAAGGAGUGCCUUAUUUAUAAGGUUGCAAUAACAAGAUCCAAGCAACUGUUUACCAAAAACACAGGUCUCCGCUAAGUCGUAAGACGAUGUAUGGGGGCUGACGCCUGCCCAGUGCCAGAAGGUUAAAGAAGUUGGUUAGCAUUCGCGAAGCUGAUAACUGAAGCCCUGGUGAACGGCGGCCGUAACUAUAACGGUCCUAAGGUAGCGAAAUUCCUUGUCGGGUAAGUUCCGACCCGCACGAAAGGCGUAAUGAUUUGGAUACUGUCUCGGAGAGAGGCUCGGUGAAAUAGACUUGUCUGUGAAGAUGCGGACUACCUGCACCUGGACAGAAAGACCCUAUGAAGCUUUACUGUAACUUGAAAUUGAAAUUGGACUUUAGUCGCGCAGCAUAGGUGGAGGCGUUGAGAAUAUUCUUGCGGGAAUAUAGGAGCCAUCAGUGAGAUACCACUCUUCUAAUGUUAGAUUUCUGACCUUGAACCAUUAUCUGGUCAAGGAACAGUUUCAGGCGGGCAGUUUGACUGGGGCGGUCGCCUCCCAAAUGGUAACGGAGGCGUACAAAGGUUUCCUCUGAACGGAUAGAAAUCGUAUCUAGAGUAUAAAGGCAUAAGGAGGCUUGACUGUGAGACUUACAAGUCGAGCAGGGACGAAAGUCGGUCUUAGUGAUCUGACGGUACUGAGUGGAAAGGCCGUCACUCAACGGAUAAAAGUUACUCUAAGGAUAACAGGCUGAUCUCCCCCAAGAGUUCAUAUCGACGGGGAGGUUUGGCACCUCGAUGUCGGCUCAUCGCAUCCUGGGGCGGUAGUACGUCCCAAGGGUUGGGCUGUUCGCCCAUGAAAGCGGUACGCGAGCUGGGUUCAGAACGUCGUGAGACAGUUCGGUCCAUAUCCGGUGUAGGCGUUAGAAUAUUGAGAGGAGCCUUCUUUAGUACGAGAGGACCGAGAAGGACAUACCUCUGGUGUACCAGUUAUCGUGCCAACGGUAAACGCUGGGUAGCUAUGUAUGGAGUGGAUAACCGCUGAAAGCAUCUAAGUGGGAAGCCCACCUCAAGAUGAGUAUUCUCA
rnacentral:rRNA from 1 species